UACGUAGGGCGCAAGCGUUAUCCGGAAUUAUUGGGCGUAAAGAGCUCGUAGGCGGUUUGUCGCGUCUGCCGUGAAAGCCUGGGGCUCAACCCCAGGUCUGCAGUGGAUACGGGCAGACUAGAGUCAGGUAGGGGAGAACGGAAUUCCUGGUGUAGCGGUGAAAUGCGCAGAUAUCAGGAGGAACACCGGUGGCGAAGGCGGUUCUCUGGGCCUGUACUGACGCUGAGGAACGAAAGCGUGGGGAGCGAACAGG
rnacentral:rRNA from 1 species